rnacentral:lncRNA from 1 species
CAAGCUUGGAUUGGAAGUUGCUGGCCAGAUGGGGUGUUUGGAUGAGAACUGUUCUAGCAGCUGCCGUGGUAUCCAGUGAGAUUGUGAGACCCAGUCUGACAACCAAGGGGAUGAAGAUCUCUCUUUUCUUCUGUUUCCUCCUAGCUACAACAUGUAUACACAAUCUCCUUACGGAUUAAGUGUGAUUACAUGAUAGAUGAUUAAAGAUUCACUACCCUCAAAUGGAAAACUACUUGAUAACUGUGUGUGGACAAGCAAACAAAAAAAGAUCAGGUGUUUCCUUGUAGCAUAAUGGGUAAUCAGUCACCUGUGCGGAACUCUGGAAGCCAAACUUCAACUAAGACUAAAGAAGGAGGCCUCCAUGCUCAGUACCAGACAUUGAGAAACCAGGAGUACACUUUUGUAUUUGUGGUUAAACUGGAUUCACAUAUUCUCUAAGUGGAUAUUUUUAGAUUUGGAGUUGUCUUUGAAAAGAAUAGAAAUGAGGUAAUGUUUAGUAUGCAAGUGAUACUGAAAAAACUCAGCGCUGGGAAUGGUCUUUCAACUCCCCUUCCUGGAAGACACAUAUAACAGUGCACAGAACACAUUAUAAAUAAUUCUAUUGGCCCAUGCCUCUGUCUAUGCUGUCAAGAAAGGAAGAAUGGAAACAGACCAAAUGGACCAAUAAACAGAAAUGUCCCAAG